rnacentral:SRP_RNA from 1 species
GUCCGGUCGCCAGCGAUGGGACCGGUUCGAAUCGGGUCAGGCCGGGAACGGAGCAGCCCUAAGGACAUGUGCCUCAUGCGAGGGAUGCCCGGACCCA